AUGACAAUGGGACCAAUCCUUUCUCAAAUUCCUUUUCUUGACAGAGGAAAAGCUCCUGUGAAACUGUCAUCUAUAUGUCAAAAAGUGGAGCUCACAGACCAACUGAAACCACAUGAGAAGACGCUAAGUCCCCAGAAACAACUUUCAUUUUUCUGCCUGCUUCUCGGCUCUGGCCUCUGGAGAAAAGUUCUCGCCUGCCUGCUUCGCUCAAGAGUUUAUCAGGCGGUUCCCCGGGACCCAGAUGGCCCAGCCACUCCUGAACCACCUGAGGAGGGAGUCUCACCAAAGCCUGCAUGGGGCCCCUUCCAGGGCAAGAGAACACGCCUUUUGAGGAUGACGAUCGCCCUCCUCUUCGCGGAGAGCCGCGGUCCUUACACACUCCGAGCUGGGAGUAGGCUCCCCGGCGUCCGGGGAGGGGGCGGUAGCAGGGGUCGGUCUUCCGCACGUUGUAGCUUGGCACCCACUCCCAAUGGCUCAAAAUUCUCCAAACAGCAGAAAGGGCUUGAAAAGAGAUAAAUAAUGACAACUGAGUGACAGCCGUGAUUUCAGGAGGCAGAUCUUUGCGGAGAUGCCAGCACCGAUUCUUCUCCGUGGUGGCCGAGGCGUAGAGGCUUCCGGGAGGUGGCGCGGCUGUGGGGAGGGUGGAGGUUCUCAGACCCCAGACCAGGGCCCGGGGCUGGACAGACGAUUGGACAUUCGCCCUUGGCAAGGUCGGAGGCCUUCGAGGCCUCAGCAGGUGAGGUGCGGCUGGUCCCCCUGGGUAGACCCUUGACCUCUUCGCGGGUGCCUCGCUUCUCCUGAGAGUGGGCUGGAGAGUGGAGGGGAUGAGGAUUGGAAGAGGCAACCUGGGGGUUGCUGAGGCAGAUUGUUGGGGCGGAGGCUCGAGACACUUCUGCAGACGACCUCCGGGAAAAUAAGCCAUUGUGAAAAGCAUCACCUGGGAACUUGUUAAAAAGGUAAAUCAUCUGAAUCAGGUUAACCCUGGCAACCAAUUGACUCAACAAUGGGCAGGCCCUCCUCCAAGUGAUUCUGAUGCUGGCUCAAGUUCAAGAACCCUUGGUGCAAAGGAAGGGCACUGACCUCUGGGGCUGGGAAACUGGACCCCUCAGUUCUUGCAUCAGUAAAGGAAGGAUGAGGUCAGCUCAGGGGACCCUGGUGGGUGGAGUCAGGAAGGUUACACAGGGUGAGAGGGGCCAGGCAGGUAAUGUCACACCCCAAAGGGCCUGUGCCAGCCAGAUGUCACCUGGCCUGAACUGGGGACAGAUUGUUGCUAUAUUAUCUGGUUUUGCAAGAGAAGCUGGAAACCUACGUUUUUAAAAUCUGAAAUCUCCUGUUUUUUAAGUGUUGGGAACUAGUUAGACAUUUCAAAAACAUUGUUUGGGUCUUCACUAUAGGGCAAGCACACCUGGAUUUGCCCUGUGGGUCCCAGUUUAUUCUUUAAACUCCAAGAUCUCGUCUUACCUUGAAACAGUCUGUGAGAUUGACAGAAAUGUGGCCAAUGCCCUGGGACAGAAGAGUGCGGCUUUCUGAACUUCUAAGAAAUUAUUAUUAGGAGAGACAAUUUUUUGAACACCUGGUAGUCACACAAAAAUAUCUUUGUUCCUUUAACUCCCUCCUUGCUCGUCUCUAUCAUCCUCUUAAUCAGGGCACCUCAUUGUUCUCAUUAUAAUUUAGACCUAAAAAAUGCUGACCCACAGAAACGGUAAGUAACUUGCUCAAAGCUAUCUGCCAGAGUCAGACAACAUCCUCAUCAAGAUCCGCUCUAAAAAUCACCUAGCAUUUACCCAGUGUUUUGCCUCCAUGCCAGAUAUUGUUCUAACUACUUUACAGAUAUUAACUCUUUUACUCCUACAACAACCUGUGAAAUGAAGAUCACUUUCAUCUCCCAUUGUACAGAUGAGGAAACUGAAGCCCAGAGAGCUUAAAUGACUUGCCCAAGGUCACCCAGUUUGUAGGCUGGUAGGUGGCAAAGCUGGGAUUUGAACAUAGGUGGCCCGACUGGCGCCAGAGCCCACCACGCAUUACUGCCUUCCCUGCUCUCAAUGAUAGCCUCCUCCUGUCUCACCAGGAUGAGGUCCCUAGGAAUGUAGCAACUCAGAUGGGCAUAAAAGAGCGUACGGUUGAGACUCUUUGCAAGGCAGGAAUAGACACACAGAUGUAGAGAAAGAAUGUGUGCAAACAGUGAGUGAAGGAGAGGAUGGGACAAAUUGGGAGAGCAGCCUUGACAUAUACACACUACCAUGUGUAAUAUAGCUAGCUAGCCAGAAGCUGUGGUAUAAUACAGGGAGCUCAGUUCAGCGCUCUGUGAUGACCUAGAGGGGUGGGAUGGGGGGUGGGGUGAAAGAGGGGCUCAAGAGAAAUGGGGUAUAUGUAUACAUAUAGCUGAUUCACUUCAUUGUACAGCAGAAACUGACAUAACAUUAUAAAGCAAUUAUACUCCAAGAAAAAACCUAAUCCAAUAUGAAAAGAAAAAAAGGAUCUGUGUUGAUGGAGCCCAGCAAGCCAAGCGCAUGCAGAGCUCUGACCUAGCAGGUCAGCCUCUCUGUAACAUCCUCCCUAAUGUAGCCAGUCGGGCUUAAGGUGUCAGGGAAUUUGACAGUUUUAACAAAGGAGGUGUCAUCUGGAGAAGAUGAAAGAGCAGAGCUAUUUAUUUGAGGAUUAGAGCCUUAAGAAGUGUCUGUAACUCUCCAGGCUGCAUUUCUGCAUCUCAUUCUUCUUGUUCCUGACAGUGUUCUCAGGGCUUUGGUGGCAAGAAUGCCCUGUAAUCUAGUUUAAUGUCCCACGGUGUUCUAGGCAGAGGAGCUAUUUCCCUACCCCACAGCACUUGCUCUGAAAUUGUCCAGAUGAAAAGAGCACUGAAAAAGGAGUCAGGAAGUCUGGGUCCUAAGCCCUCGCCUUAUAAAUAGUUGAUUGUGAGACCUGCAGAAAUGACUUUUACCUUCCUGGGUUCAGGCUGCUCCUUCCCUGGUGUAGCUUGAACCACGUGUAGCUAAAGUGGAAAUUCCUUUUCUCACCUGUGCUCUCUACGUGUCCUGUGCUCAGCAGCCGUGUGUAGCAGGUGACUGUCGUAAUGGAUGGUGCACAUGUCAGACAUCUCUCUUAUUGUAGCAAGUUCUGUAAGGAGGUGCUGCUGGUGCUUGAAUUAGCUAAUCCUAAAGCCCUUUGAGGGGCUUCCCAGGUGGCUCAAUGGUAAAGAAUCCACCUGCCAAUGCAGGAGACAAAGUUUGAUCCCUGGCUUGGGAAGAUCCCUAGAGGAGGGAACAGCAACCCACUCUGGUAUUCUUACCUGGGAAAUCCCAUGGACAUAGGAAUCUGGUGGGCUACAGUACAUGGGGUCGCCAAGAGUCGGACAUGACUGGGCAACUGAGCACACACACUCAAAACUCUUUGAACACUGAAAUCCUAUGUUUUGUUUGUUUCUGAUACAUGAGCAGUCACUAUUCAUAGCUGCGAGAUGUUCUCUAGGGUUGGUUGAUCUUUGCCAGUGAGGUGGGUACAGUGAGCUUUUAGCUGGUAAUUGCACCUUGUGGCCAAGAGCGGCUAUUAGAGAGACAUCCAGUCAAGAAUUAGCAAUGCAGGGUUAGACCAUGAAUGUUCCUGCUCUUUGAUUCCUAUUGGCCCAUAAAAGAAGAGAACACUGGAUCUAAUUAUUUAAGCAUAAAGGUAAGAAUGAAACGAACAGCACUAUUCGACAACAAUCAGGAUAUGAAAACAACCUAAAUGUCCAUCAGUAGAUGAAUGGAUAAAGAUAUAUGUAUAUAUACAUGCAAUGGAAUAGUAUUCAAGCAUAAGAAUGAAAUGAUGCCAUUUGAGCAACAUGGAUGGACCUAGAGAUUAUCAUACUAAGUAAAGUAAGUCAGAAAGAGAAAGACAAAUACCAUAUGAUAUCGUUUAUAUGUGGAAUUGAAAAUAUAACACAAAUGGACUUAUCUACAAAACAGAAAUAGACUCACAGACUUAGAGAGCAGGCUGAUGGUUGCCAAGAGAUUACAGGAUGGAGUGGGAGUUUGGGAUUAGCAGAUGCAAACUAUUACGGAGAGAAUGGGUAAAUCACAGCGUCCUACUAUAUAGCACAGGGAACUAUUUUCAAUAUCCUGUAAUAAACCAUAAUGGAAAAGAAUAUGCAUGCAUGUAUGCUAAGGUGCCUCAGUUGUAUCCAACUAUUUGCGACCCUAUGUCAGGCCAGGCUCCUCUGUCCGUGGGCUUCUCCAGGCAAGAAUAUUGAAGUGGGUUGCCAUGCCCUCCUCCAGGGCAUCUUCCCAACCCAGGGAUCGAACCCACGUCUCAUUAUGUCUCCUGCAUUGCAAGGCAGGUUCUUUACCACUAGUGCCACCUGAGAAGCCCCCAAAAGAAUGUAUAUGUGUACAUAUAUGCUUAUAACUGAAUCACUUUGCUAUACAGCAGAAAUUAAGACAAUAUUGUAAAUCAACUAUAACAAAAUGAAUAUUUUUUU
rnacentral:lncRNA from 1 species